CCCUUAGAUGUCCGGGGCCGCACGCGCGCUACACUGAAGGAAUCAGCGUGGCUUUCUCCCUGGUCCGAAAGGACCGGGAAACCCGUUGAAUCUCCUUCGUGAUAGGGAUUGGGGCUUGAAAUUGUUCCCCAUGAACGAGGAAUUCCCAGUAAGCGCGAGUCAUAAGCUCGCGUUGAUUACGUCCCUGCCCUUUGUACACACCGCCCGUCGCUACUACCGAUUGAACGGUUUAGUGAGGGCCUCGGAUUGGUCUCGGCCCGCUCUUCACCGGGCGGCGCCGUUGGUCGAGAAGACGCUCGAACUUGACCGUUUAGAGGAAGUAAAAGUCGUAACA
rnacentral:rRNA from 1 species